GGUAGCAUGGCCCCUGCACAAGAAUGACAUUCAAAUUCAUGAAGCACUCCAUAUUUUU
rnacentral:snRNA from 1 species